rnacentral:rRNA from 1 species
UCUACGGGUGGCUGCAGUGGGGGAUAUUGCACAAUGGGGGGAACCCUGAUGCAGCGACGCCGCGUGGGUGAAGAAGCGCCUCGGCGCGUAAAGCCCUGUCAGCAGGGAAGAAAAUGACGGUACCUGAAGAAGAAGCCCCGGCGAACUACGGGCCAGCAGCCGCGGUUAUACGUAGGGGGCAAGCGGUAUCCGGAUUGACUGGGUGAAAAGGGGGGGGAGACGGCGAUGGAAGCACGGGGGUAAAGCCCGGGGGCCCACCCCGGGACUGCUCUUGGAACUGCGUGGCUGGAGUGCAGGGGGGGCAGGCGGAAUUCCUGGUGUAGCGGUGAAAUGCGUAGAUAUCAGGAGGAACACCGGUGGCGAAGGCGGCCUGCUGGACUGCAACUGACGUUGAGGCCCGAAAGCGUGGGGAGCAAACAGGAUUAGAUACCCUUGUAGUC